rnacentral:lncRNA from 10 species
CGGAAUUGAGUAUUGGCUCUGGAGGGCAGAAAUGAUGUGAUGUUCAUAUUUGUAUGAAGGCCAACAUGAGGUUAGAAGUUGGGCAAGGCACAGUGUGGAUGGUGGAUGGCUCACCUCUGCUCCAUGACAUCUGCAGCCCCAGAUGGGAAUAAUAAAAUGUUGGGAAGACAUCUUUCCUCUUCUACCCCACUCUCCCACCAGAAUCAUCAGGAGGCAUCUUUAUUUCUAUCUCAUGAUUAAUGGCAGC